UCUCAUAUCGACUGAAUACGCCGUUUCCUUCUCCUCUCCCAUCUUCUCUAUUCGAGAGCUUCACAGCUCUCAACUCUCCAUUCCUUUCUUCUUCGUGGCCAAGAAGCUCGACAACAAGCUCUCUAUAUCAGCCACCAAAUAUCAAUGGCCACUCCGCCUUGAACACCGCCGAAGCCCUUAAACACCUCGACCCCGAUUUGGACCAAAAUUCUCAAUUAAAACCCCUAACGCUCUGGUCACUGUACGAUAGCUUGGUGACUUACAUCGACCCCCAAACUCCCUUCGUCUUUCAAGUUGAUGAUGAUGGCUUGGUGGAUGUCUCAACUUGAAAAACGAGUGUUGACAGGCAAAGCUAUUGUAAACGAUUCG